UCAAACGAAGCAUCAAUGAAUAUCAUAGUAUUGCAAAAGAAGGUAACAAUACAGAGUGUGUUAACCUAAAUGCCAAAAUCUAAUUCUACCCAAACUCUAAAAAGGCCUCACUCUUUUGCAAGGCGAAACUGAAGUCUACCGCAGCAUUAUCAACAGCGAGCGAGAAUCGGAGCAUCGGAACAUCGAAGAAGAAGUGAGGAUUGAUAUCUUUAUUGAAACUAGUAUACAAAAUAUACAAAGCUCAUCCACCGCCAAACCCUAAAACCCUAAGGGUCUGGAUAGUCGAUGGCAUGAGCGUCGUUGGUGUUGCCAUAAGCAUCGUCGUCGUCGCCGGGCAAUCCGAACUCGUUCGCCUCGCGCUCCGACGCUUGGAUGGCAAUCACGGGGAAUUCCUCGAUAGCCUUGCCGACGCCGACGUAGACACCCGCCGUGUAAAGGUCAUACAAGAAAUCGUCGAAGUCGGCCGGCUCGAUGAGCGCGAGGUGAGGCUCGUCGUCCACCCGCACCACGUCCCAGAUCCCUUGCGACUUCGCCGUGACCUCGAAUCGAGGCUUCUUAGCCACGGACACGGAGUGCUGCGUCUCACCAAUCCCCCGCUUCUUGUUUGUGGCCGGCAGGGAGAUGGUUUCAACGUGCGCUAGCUCCUCGACGUGCACUGACGGGUGAUGGCGUGUGGUUUUCACCCGGCGGAAAAAGUGUAGCCGCGGAGGCGCCUCCUUCUGGCGCUUCAAUGGGGGCUCGGACACCAUGAGCUGCAGCCACAGGCUGUCCACGGGCUCCUGUGCCCUCUUCCGCUUCACUACCACCAUCGUUCUGGGUGCCAUCUCUGGAUUGAGUGCACCCUCACGCCCUAAACCACGGUUGCUGUGUGCGCACACAGAAAAAACAAAUCCGCUGCAGCUCAAUCAAUGCACCUAAAUCACAGAAAGAGUGCAGUAGCUGCAAGAGUAGACAAAUAAGAGUUGGAAAUGUAUCGUUCGGGAAGACUACGAAGCGGUUCGGGAAAGCAUCCAGUGAACUGUUGUCAGUGAAUCUGAACGGGAUCUUCGCGACUUCUGCAGUGUGAAGAUGGGUCGGAAAUGAUCAUUGAGGCCUGGGCGGGCGACAGGAGUAAUUCCAGGGGAUAGCUUCAAGGCCGGACGUAGUGGGUAGACACGAGGCACCUUGCGAGAGGACGCGAGGGACAGUGACCUAAAGAACGCUACACUUUCUCUUCAAAAGUUUAGAGCAGGACGAAACGGCUCUGUGAUAUCAUGAGGAGGUUUGUAACGAUUUUUAUGGAUAUUGGGGGGUUACUGCCGAAAGUGGGAUUGAUCGGAGAAUUAGGCUCACAGCGGGUGCAUAGAACCAACCCCUGGUCAGCCAGACCGUUGGUUGUCGUGCAAGAAGCGGGAAGCCGUGCAAACGUGACAAUCCAAUGGUAGCCUCUAUCCUCACUUACAUUUUGUGGUUGAAAGUUUCAGUCGGAACUACAGGACAAGUCAGCCGUCAGGGUUUCCUUCUUCGCCGAGGAUGCCAACAUUCGGAAAGGAGUCGAGGAUAUUUGCAUCAAGUUAAUUGGUAGUCUAAGAUUUCCUACAAUACUGCUGAUAUCCCGAUUAAUUUUUUUUUUUUCAGAUAUCAAAAUUGUUGGGAUUGUUUUACUUAAUCAAGGUAUGCUCCAGCGAUUGUACUGUUUUCGACACUUCGCACUGUACACAGUUGUACACACUUCGCCUUCAUUUCAGGAUUGACUUUGGUAGUUUCACUGUUCAGUUGUGCACUAAUAUAUAAGCCGUCAUUGGCACGAAUCGGACGUUCAGA
rnacentral:lncRNA from 1 species